CAGGCCUAAGCACGGGGUGGCCUCCCUGCCUUCCCCAGUCCAUCCUGCACAGGCCGCCAGCUCUGUGGCCACCACUGCUCCUGUUCCAGGAUCUCCAGUGGCUCCAGGUCACCUCCCAAAGACAGUCCCAGCUCCUUAGCCAUCGAGGGCCCCACGACCUGGCGCCAACACACUUGCCUGGUCUUACCUGGCAUGUUCUUCGUCACAGAUUUGGCUUUCUCUAGCUCCCAGUCUCUGCUCACUCGCCCCCAGGGGCCUGCCUGGGAAGGGGGAGGUGGGCUCUGCCACAGCUGGAAGACAUGCAACAAGGGACGAGGGACGAUGGUGGCCACCCCAGCUGGUGCUUCUCAAUGCUGUGAGACAGCUCCUGACCUGAGAGGCCGGGGCUGUGGGGUACCUGGGGAGGUCUGAGGAGAGAAGGGCACACCAGCAGUCCAAGAGCAGGCAGCACUGGGUUUGCUGUGGACAGUGUUGGACUGGCCAGGGAAUGGCAUGUGAUUACUGAGCCGUGCACCAUGAACUGGAAGCAAGAGCAGCCCCUGCCGGGUGACUUUCUCCUUCAGAGCACAGAAAGUUCCUGCAAGACCGGGGUGUCCUGAAUUACUGGGCCUCACAAGGUGGGUGAGUGCAUAGGUCACGUGGGUGGGAUGAUACGCUCACCGCCCACAGCGCCAUCCAGCUACUAUGAGUGCACCAGUCUCCUUGCCCGACUUCAGUGGCCAUUCCUCUGGGGGAAAACAGGCCCAAUCCCAAACAGGGACCUGAAGGACCCACGCCCAUCCCUGCCUCCCCUG
rnacentral:lncRNA from 1 species